rnacentral:rRNA from 1 species
AGUGGCGAACGGGUGCGUAAUACGUGAGAAUCUGCCCUUAGGAGGAGAAUAACUUCUGGAAACGGUUGCUAAGUCUCCAUAUGCCGAGAGGUAAAAUAGUUUACACUGCCUAGGGAUGAGCUCACGCCUGAUUAGCUUGUUGGUAAGGUAAUGGCUUACCAAGGCCACGAUCAGUAGCUGGUUUGAGAGAACGAUCAGCCACACUGGGACUGAGACACGGCCCAGACUCCUCCGGGAGGCAGCAGUGAGGAAUUUUCCGCAAUGGGCGAAAGCCUGACGGAGCAAUACCGCGUGAGGGAUGAAGGAUUUUGGUCUGUAAACCUCUUUUCUCAAGAAAGAAGUUCUGACGGUACUUGAGGAAUAAGCACCGGCUAACUCCGUGCCAGCAGCCGCGGUAAUACGGGGGGUGCAAGCGUUAUCCGGAUUUAUUGGGCGUAAAGCGCCUGUAGGUUGUUUAAUAAGUCUGUUGUUAAAGACUAGGGCUUAACCCUAGGAAAGCAAUGGAAACUACUAGACUUGAGUAUGAUAGGGGUAGAGGGAAUUUCUAGUGUAGCGGUGAAAUGCGUAGAUAUUAGAAAGAACACCGGUGGCGAACGCGCUCUACUGUAUCAUUACUGACACUCAGAGGCGAAAGCUAGGUAGCAAACGGAAUUAGAUACCCUGUUAGUCCUAGCCGU